AACGAACGCUGGCGGCGUGCCUAACACAUGCAAGUCGAGCGAGAAAGGGGUGGCAACACCCUGAGUAAAGCGGCGCACGGGUGAGUAACACGUAGGUAACCUGCCUCUAAGACCGGGAUAACCUGUCGAAAGACGAGCUAAUACCGGAUAAGACUUCAGUUUCUUUGGGAGCAGAAGUCAAAGGUGGCCUCUGCAUGCAAGCUAUCGCUUAGAGAUGGGCCUGCGGACCAUUAGCUAGUUGGCAGGGUAAUGGCCUACCAAGGCAAAGAUGGUUAGCGGGUCUGAGAGGACGACCAGCCACACUGGAACUGAGACACGGUCCAGACUCCUACGGGAGGCAGCAGUGGGGAAUCUUGGGCAAUGGGCGAAAGUCUGACCCAGCAACGCCGCGUGGGUGAUGAAGGCCUUCGGGUCGUAAAGCCCUGUCGGAAGGAACGAAUGUUUCUGGGACGAAUAAUUCCAGAAAGUGACGGUACCUUCAAAGGAAGCACCGGCUAACUCCGUGCCAGCAGCCGCCGUAAUAC
rnacentral:rRNA from 1 species